rnacentral:rRNA from 1 species
GUCGCGGUAAUACGUAAGAGACGAGUGUUAUUCAUCUUUAAUCGGUUUAAAGGGUACCUAGACGGAAAAUCAAGCUUAGUUAAAAUAAGGACUAGUUUUCUAGAGUUUGACACGAGAAGGUAUGAACUAUCAGAGUAGAGAUAAAAUUUGUCGAUACUGGUGGGACGGACAACGGCGAAGGCAAUCUUCUACUAAAAACUGACGUUGAGGGACGAAGCCUAGGGGAGCGAGAAGGAUUUGAUACCCUAGUAGUCCUAGGAGAAAAUUAUGAGUGCCAUAGACUUAUGUGAAAAAAAAACAAAUCUGUGUAUUUAAAAAAUAUAGGCAAAUAUAAAACAAAUCUGUUUUAUAUUUAAAAAAUAUUCGCAAAAUUAGAUUUCUGUGGGUUUAAAAUAGCGGUUUCAGAUUAUUCUGGGAUAUGAUGAGAAAAAAAUUUGUUUUUUCCAAAUAAUAUUUUAAUUUGUUAAUAGUAGCGGUCUAUAAAUGAAAGUGUAAGCAUUCCACCUCAUGACUAAAGCGGCAACGCCCAAAUUGAAAUCAUUAGACCGUUUCUGAAACCAGUAGUGAAGUAUGUUAUUUAAUUCGAUGACCCGCGAAUAACCUUACCACGUUUUGAAUUUUUAAACAAGUGUUGCACGGCUGUCUUCAGUUAAUGUC